UUGUUUUUUUUUUCCGUUAGAAAAGAAAAGUGUCUGGGGGGCUCAAGUUUGAGUUGAAACCAGGCUCAGGGUCCACCUGUCCUCGCUGAUCCGUGGAUUUCUGUGUGACCAGCUGACACCUAUGGAGCUGUGGCCCUGACUACUACCACUUUGGGGCACAACCUGAAGACCCUCACAGUCACCUUCCCCAUCUCCACCCUCCAGUAUUCAUCAGACAGGAGCAAUGGCUCAGCCACGUUCCACUCCACUGAGAGGGUCCUGCAGAGCCUGCUGGAUCCUUGUUCAAGAAGAGCAGCCUGGGCCUCUUCUCCUUGAGUUGCAGACUGGUCUCCCUCAGGCCUGUGAAGGAUGGGGGAGCCACCUGUGUGGACGCUGUCUGCACCCACCACCGUGACCCCGUGGGCCUCCAUGCCUCUGUGCUGGGAGCUGAGAGUCUCCACCUGUCUGCUCUUCCUCUCGGUGGCUCCAGGCUCUGCACCCUGGAGUUUAUG